rnacentral:rRNA from 1 species
GACGAACGCUGGCGGCGUGCCUAAUACAUGCAAGUCGAGCGCAGGAAAUCGACGGAACCCUUCGGGGGGAAGUCGACGGAAUGAGCGGCGGACGGGUGAGUAACACGUAAAGAACCUGCCCUCAGGUCUGGGAUAACCACGAGAAAUCGGGGCUAAUACCGGAUGGGUCAUCGGACCGCAUGGUCCGAGGAUGAAAGGCGCUCCGGCGUCGCCUGGGGAUGGCUUUGCGGUGCAUUAGCUAGUUGGUGGGGUAAUGGCCCACCAAGGCGACGAGGCAUAGCCGACGGGAGGGGGUGAGCGGCCACACUGGGACUGAGACACGGCCCAGACGCCUACGGGAGGCAGCAGUAGGGAAUCUUCCACAAUGGACGAAAGUCUGAUGGAGGAACGCCGCGUGAACGAUGAAGGCCUUCGGGUCGUAAAGUUCUGUUGUAAGGGAAGAACAAGUGCCGCAGGCAAUGGCGGCACCUUGACGGUACCUUGCGAGAAAGCCACGGCUAACUACGUGCCAGCAGCCGCAGUAAAAC